rnacentral:tRNA from 1 species
GCCCGGGUGGUGAAACAGGUAGACACAAGGGACUUAAAAUCCCUCGGCUUAACAGCCGUGCCGGUUCGACUCCGGCCCCGGGCACCA